rnacentral:rRNA from 1 species
GACGCUGGCGGUGCGCCUUAUGCAUGCAAGUCGAGCGAAGCUUUUCAGUAGUUUACUACAGAAAAUGACUGAGCGGCGAACGGGUGAGUAACGCGUGAGCAACCUACCUUAGUUACUGGGAUAGCCCGAGGAAACUCGGAUUAAUACCGGAUAUUCUUAUUUAAUCACAUGAUUUUUUAAGGAAAGGUCAGCCGAACUAAGAUGGGCUCGCGUUCUAUCAGCUAGUUGGUAGGGUAAUGGCCUACCAAGGCUACGACGGAUAGCUGGUCUGAGAGGACGAUCAGCCACACUGGGACUGAGACACGGCCCAGACUCCUACGGGAGGCUGCAGCAGGGAAUAUUGCGCAAUGAGCGAAAGCUUGACGCAGCGACACCGCGUGUGGGAUGACGGAUCUAGGUUUGUAAACCACUUUCAGGAGGGAAGAAAAUGACGGUACCUCCACAAGAAGCCCCGGCCAACUACGUGCCAGCAGCCGCGGUAAUACGUAGGGGGCGAGCGUUGUCCGGAUUUAUUGGGCGUAAAGAGCUCGUAGGCGGUUCAACAAGUCGGUCGUGAAAGUUCAGGGCUCAACCCUGAAAUGUCGAUCGAUACUGUUGUGACUAGGAUACGGUAGAGGUGAGUGGAAUUCCGAGUGUAGCGGUGAAAUGCGUAGAUAUUCGGAGGAACACCAAUUGCGAAGGCAGCUCACUGGGCCGCUAUCGACGCUGAGGAGCGAAAGCUAGGGGAGCAAACAGGAUUAGAUACCCUGGUAGUCCUAGCUGUAAACGAUGGAUACUAGACGUAGGAAUUGGAUUAACGAUUUCUGUGUCGUAGCUAACGCGUUAAGUAUCCCGCCUGGGGAGUACGGUC